rnacentral:tRNA from 1 species
ACCGAAAUAGCUCAGUUGGGAGAGCGUUAGACUAUAGAUCGAAAGGUCGCUGGUUCAAUCCUGGGUUACGGCA